rnacentral:rRNA from 1 species
GUCGUGAGACAGGUUAGUUUUACCCUACUGAUGAAGCGUUGUCGCAAUAGUAAUCCAAGUCAGUACGAGAGGAACCCUUGGUUCGCAUACUUGGUAACUACGGUUCGCCGGAAGGCGAGUGCCGUGAAGCUACCAUGCGUUGGCUUACAUUUGAACGCCUCUAAAAUGGAAUCCAAACUAGAACGCGACAAUAUUUGUUUCUCCGGUACAGAGACGCAUAAGACUAGCGCCACCCGUGUGGCGUCUGCAUCAUAAGAGUCGCAGCCGCGGCGCGCCCGAAAGGCGUGUCGCGCGCAGGACGAUCCCAAUUCCAGAUAUUGGAGAAGUAGAUCACUUAUAUACGAUUUGAUUCGGGAACGGAGUGCUGUAAGUCGCAG